GCCAGCGUAGUGUAGUGGUUUGAGUGUUCAACUAGGAUAUUGGGAGACCAGGGUUUGAAUCCCUGCUCAGCUA